rnacentral:rRNA from 1 species
UGUUGGUAGGGUAAUGGCCUACCAAGACUGUGAUCAAUAGCUGAUCUGAGAGGAUGAUCAGCCACAUUGGGACUGAGACACGGCCCAAACUCCUACGGGAGGCAGCAGUAGGGAAUAUUGCACAAUGGAGGAAACUCUGAUGCAGCGAUGCCGCGUGAGUGAAGAAGGCCUUUGGGUUGUAAAGCUCUUUCGUCGGGGAAGGAAAUGACUGUACCCGAAUAAGAAGGUCCGGCUAACUUCGUGCCAGCAGCCGCGGUAAUACGAAGGGACCUAGCGUAGUUCGGAAUUACUGGGCUUAAAGAGUUCGUAGGUGGUUAAAAAAGUUGGUUGUGAAAUCCCGAAGCUUAACUUCGGAACUGCAAUCAAAACUUUUUAGCUAGGGUAUGAUAGAGGAAAGCAGAAUUUCUAGUGUAGAGGUGAAAUUCGUAGAUAUUAGAAAGAAUACCGAUUGCGAAGGCAGCUUUCUGGAUCAUUACUGACACUGAGGAACGAAAGCAUGGGUAGCGAAGAGGAUUAGAUACCCUCGUAGUCCAUGCCGUAAACGAUGUGUGUUAGACGUUGGAAUUUUAUUUCAGUGUCGCAGCGAAAGCAAUAAACACACCGCCUGGGGAGUACGACCGCAAGGUUAAAACUCAAAUGAAUUGACGGGGACCCGCACAAGUAGUGGAGCAUGUGGUUUAAUUCGAAGAUACGCGCAGAACCUUACCAACACUUGACAUGUUCGUCGCGACUCUAAGAGAUUAGAGUUUUCGGUUCGGCCGGACGAAACACAGGUGCUGCAUGGCUGUCGUCAGCUCGUGUCGUGAGAUGUUGGGUUAAGUCCCGCAACGAGCGCAACCCUCACUUUUAGUUGCCAUCAUUUAGUUGGGCACUCUGAAAGAACUGCCAGUGAUAAGCUGGAGGAAGGUGGGGAUGACGUCAA